rnacentral:rRNA from 1 species
CCUACGGGAGGCAGCAGUGAGGAAUAUUGGUCAAUGGACGAGAGUCUGAACCAGCCAAGUAGCGUGAAGGAUGACUGCCCUAUGGGUUGUAAACUUCUUUUAUAUGGGAAUAAAACGUUCCACGUGUGGGAUUUUGUAUGUACCAUAUGAAUAAGGAUCGGCUAACUCCGUGCCAGCAGCCGCGGUAAUACGGCGGAUCCGAGCGUUAGUCGGAUUUAUUGGGUUUAAAGGGAGCGUAGGUGGAUUGUUAAGUCAGUUGUGAAAGUUUGCGGCUCAACCGUAAAAUUGCAGUUGAAACUGGCAGUCUUGAGUACAGUAGAGGUGGGCGGAAUUCGUGGUGUAGCGGUGAAAUGCUUAGAUAUCACGAAGAACUCCGAUUGCGAAGGCAGUUCACUGGACUGCAACUGACACUGAGGCUCGAAAGUGUGGGUAUCAAACAGGAUUAGAUACCCUAGUAGUC